UAUGCUAUAACUUCUCGUAUUCUAUCUUUGGCUAAAAAUGAAUUUUGUAGAACACUACUAUAAACUAAAUAGAAUUCUUCUGUUAUGGCUCGGCUUGUGGCCUUAUGACACCUCAUUCUUGAAGAAGAUACAAAUUAUUUGUUUUGAAGCAACAUUCAUAUCGUUCUUAUUAUGUCAACUGAACGUGUUUCUGUUGAAAAACUGCAGUGCCGAACUUGUCAUGAAAGUACUCAUGUUUCUUUUUAUUACUAUUUUUUUUAUUGUACAAUACAAUGUAGGAGUGCUACUCACUGAUAGCUUCAAGUACAUCUUCAGUAGACUUCGUUACGAUUGGAAUAUGUUACAAAAUCAGAAAGAAUUUGACAUAAUACAAAAGUAUGCAGACCGGACAAGAUUCCAUACGAUCCUUUUUACACUUUUAGCUCUUUCUAUAAGCCUGGGAAUAAUCGUAUUAUGUUCUGUGCCAUCUCUACUUGAUAUAAUUAUACCACUGAAUGAAUCACGACCGUCAUGGUUACCAAUUGUAGCGGAAUACUUUGUUGAUCAACAAAGAUAUUUCUAUGCUAUUUUGAUACAUAUUUUCAUAGUCGUCUAUGCUGGCUCUAUGGCAAUUGCAUCCGUUGCAGGAAUGAUGCUAGGAUAUGUACUGCAUAAUUGCGCCAUCUUUAAAAUUGCAAGCUAUCGUAUAGAACACAUAUUUGAUGAAAAAAUAUUACAAAUGUCAAAAACUAUUGGACAAUAUGUGCUAUAUGAGAGAUUAAUUCAUGCCGUACAUCUUCAUCGCAGAGCUGUGGAGUUGGUAUUAAUAUGUUUGACCAAUGAUUUGAAUAAUAGUUUUUCGAGAAUAUGUUUCAUAAUGAUAAUAGUUGGAAUGUGUUGUAUACCUUUCAGUGUUUUUCAUUUCUUUUAUGUGCUGGCACCCUUAAACGACGUACUAGAACUAUUAUUGAGUUGCGGUGUGUUAAUUUUUCAGUUAUACUAUAUGUUUAUAAUAAAUUACGUUGGACAAGAUAUCAUAAACAUCAGCACAAAUGUUUUUCAUACAGCAUAUAAUACCGAAUGGUACGCUGCACCACUGUGGUUACAAAAAUUGAUAUUGGUUAUACUGCAGAGAAGCAGCCUCAAGAGUACUCUUAUAGCUGGAGGGAUAGUUGAUGCAUCGUUAGAAGGUUUUGCCAAGCUCAUGAGUAUGUCGAUGUCAUAUGUUAUGUUUCUGCGUUCUACGCGUUGAACUCAAUAAAAAAAUGAAUAAGAGGCUUUAUAAUCAUCAUAUAUCCGAAUUUGACUUAACUUAAGAAAACAUGCAAGAAUAAAAUUGUAGCGAAAUAUUCUGGUAAUUAGUACUGUGCAAUGUAAUGGACCGUAAUAUUUUUGUACUCGAGAAAGCGUAAGUUUUUAUGUCUAUUAUGUAUUAUGCAUCGAACGCAGAUAUAUUUAACCAUAUAUUUGGACUUGUCCAAAUAAGAGAUAUUUGGAUAUACAGUAAUACAAUCAGUAUUGUAUACCUCAAUUCCAUUAAGAGUAAAGGCGGAUAUUGUUAUGCAUAAUUAUGUAAAUAUGAUGAUAAUACCAUACAGGGCAUGUGCAAAUGUGAAAACUUCGUCUGUUUAUAAUAUAGAGAACAGUAAAAGCUUAUGUGUUGUGCAACAGAAAUGUAAUUAUGGCACCGUUGGAUGCUUUUACUUGGAUCGAUAGUCAUGUUGAACAUGACAGUCCAUGUUGAACGUGUGUCAAACAGCUAAUUAGAAUAAAUAUUAAUUUUAUAAAUUGUUAUAUUUAUUGUUAUAUUUAUUAUUAUGUUAUAUUUAUAAACAUAGUCUGCAUGAGCUUUAAUAUCAUAUUAGAAAUUUUCUUUUUUAGAUAGCUAUUUUGAUGGUAUUCUAUUUCGCUAUAAUUUAUUUUGUGUUAAAAUCGAAACAAAUGACAUUUGACUUUAAAUGGUAAAGCUGCAUUAAUAUAUGUCAUAUAUGUUUAUAUGACAAGUUUUCAUCCAUUUUUAUAGAAUAAUAUACAUUUGAGAAAAUA